GUGGGAUGCUUGGGGAAGAGUGUCUGAAAGAUGCCGCCUGUGGGGACCUAAGACACAGACGAGAACCAUCCUGUCUCCACCCUGUGACACAUCACCAGGUUUUAAACAGAUGUUCACAGGACUGGGAGUGCAGUGGUGUGCUGUGGGCCUCUGAGGCUUGGCUCCACGCCCACUGCUGAUGGUUGGCUACCUGGAGCGCUGCUCACCACAAUUCUGCAGACACACAGCACGUGGGACAGGUAGAAUAGUCCACCAGGAAGGACCUCUUCUUGGGAUGGAAGCAGCCUAAAUGUCCAUCGACAGGAGGCGGACCUGGCUUUCCAGCUCCCCAGCCCAAUCCUCUCCUGGUUCAGCUUCAUGGGCAGCUUCCAGAGAAGACUGGGGCCUCUGCACUGGGCGCAGCUGGAGCCCUUCUGGUGAGCCUGUCCAUGGCAUGUCCACUACCUGCGGUUCCCUGGACUCUGCCCACAAGGCUCCCCGAGCCAGACCUCCCUCCUCCCGGCCGGCGGUCAGCUCCUCUGAGCUGCAUCUGCUCCAGCGUUUCUGGCUGCUCCACCCGUCAUGGCCGUGAAUCAUCUCCCUUCCCUCAUUCUUUGAAUUGAGAACUCCGCUGAAAUCCCCCAGGUCUUUCCCUACCAAUGGGUCUUAGUCACCGACCUCACAGAUGUCAUGAACUUUCCCCUCCUCGCCUUCAAUAUCACGGCCAAGCUUAGUAUCCAGCACUGUGCUCUCACAACAUAGGAAUGAUUUCAACUCCACCUCUACUCCUCUUUCCGGACUCAGCGGGCUGUUUGCAAACUAAUGAUAGGUUUGGCUUCCUGUGCCCACCUGGCCACAUCUGCCUGCCAUUAAUUAAAGAGAACGAUUCUUUAUUUGGAUCAUGAGCUGGAAAACCUCAAUGUUGAGAUGCUGUGGCUUUUUCCAAAAUCAGAAAGCAAGUACAAGAAGUUGACCGGAAAAUAUCCCCCUUUUCUUUCAAACUUUGCUUCAUGAUUGAGAGAUCGUGUUGUCACAAGCGUCUGAGUGUAUGUUUAUGUGACUCUCUGUGUGUGAGUACAUGUGUGUCUGUGUGAGACUGUGAGGAUACGUGUGGGAGUGUGUGUGUGUGUGUGUGUGUGUGUGCAUUUUAAUCUGUGUCUAUUGCUUUCUGCUCUUAGCCACAUGGGCAUAGACCCCUGGAACCAACCUGGGAAGUGAUACUGGAUGCUGUGAUCAGGCAAGCUUAACCUUCCUCCCCAGCUCACUUCCCUGCUGCUUGACUCCAGGUGGAGACCGAAAAACCCAAAGGCUCAUGUUCUAGUCCCCGUCAGCAAGAGGCACCCAUGUGAUGAAGGUCUGGAGGGUGAGACCGUGUAAGGUCUCGGCUAUGUUGUGGUCACAUAAACCUGGCAUAUUAGUAGCUUAGCCCAGCAGGGGUCAUUUCUCACUCACACUGCCUCCCCUGGUGAUCUGCUGUGGUCUCUGCUACACAGGGCUCCUCGGGGAUGCAGGCUGAUGGGGCUUUACCAUUUUGCAGCUGCCCCAUCUAGAACAUUCAGCUUCUAAGGCCACCACUGAAAGGAAGAGGAAGAGGGAGGAAUUUCAGGCUUUUGACUGCCAUGGCUACCAAAUGUCACUCUUGCUCGCUGUCGAUGGGACAGAGCUUGCAUUUCAGCCUGAUUGCCAGGACAGUUAAGAAUGUGGGGAACGGAUUUUGCCAUGUCCUGGGUAACCACUAAUCACCACAAAGAUGUGACUAUAAUGCUGGGGUCUGGGGUUACUUCUGGACAAACAUUUCCUUUCCUGAUAAAAGGGCCAAACACAAUUGUUUCUCUCUAAGUCAUUCGUGGGCUUGAUGGCUGGUGCUGCGGCAGCCUUCAUGGGACUGGGACCCAGCAGAAGAACAUGCUGAGGACCAUGGGAUACAAACAGCCUUGGUGCCAUUGGUGAGCAGCUGUGUUGAUCCUGGCUUGCUGACUUCAGAUGCCCUAUUCUCUGAGAAACUCAGCCCUGUUUGUUUAGGCCACUAUUAAGCUGCAUGCUCUGUUACUUGCAUACAAACUCAAAGCAGAUAUGGAGGCUUUGAAGAGAAGGUU
rnacentral:lncRNA from 1 species